CUCAACCUUUUUCAAUCUUCUUCACAAAACCCAUGGCUCCUCUUCUUCUUUUCUUUUUUAAUUGCCACAACCGAAGCCCUCCGGUGACCGCCCUCAACAGUUGAGCAAACCCCAAACAAACCUAAUCACGAGCUCCUUAAUCCGGCGACGAAUCCAUAUAAAAAGGUAAAUCUUACUGCCUAUUUAUUACCUCUCUUAUUUCUAUUUCAAAAUCUCUAUAAUGAAAACUAAAUUCAAAAUUACAUGCAAACUUCCCGAGAGAAAAUCGACGCUUCAACCUUAGACUUUGACGACUCAAACAAUUUCGGUAAACUUCUAGCUCUAUUAUAUUUUGGGAUUCACUGUUCUUGAACGGUGAUGGUAACCUCGCCUGAGCGAGAUGGACCACCAAGAAGAGAUCCGAACGCCUCAGAUGAUUUGUGUAGUAUCAGCUUCAAUUGUGACAUGAUUGGAGGCGACUCAUACGCGUGAAUGGGAGCAACAGUGAAGCACAGACGCAUCUCUAGUGGACGCAUAUCUAGUGGCUGGCGAGUCUUGUAACCGAGUCUAGAUUCAGGUCUUGGGCUUGAACCAACAUCUUGUAAUUGGGCUGAUAUAUAUAAUUGGAUCUUGGGCCUUAUUGGGCUUUUGGAUAA